GACGAACGCUGGCGGCGCGCCUAACACAUGCAAGUCGAACGGAGCUUGUUUGUUUGAUUCUUUCGGGAUGACGACUUAUAAGCUUAGUGGCGAACGGGUGAGUAACACGUGAGUAACCUGCCCUACACUGGAGGACAACAGUUAGAGAUGACUGCUAAUACUCCAUACUCCUUCUUAACAUAAGUUAAGUCGGGAAAGUUUUUCGGUGUAGGAUGAGACUAUAUUGUAUCAGCUAGUUGGUGAGGUAAUGGCUCACCAAGGCUAUGACGCAUAACUGGUCUGAGAGGAUGAUCAGUCACACUGGAACUGAGACACGGUCCAG
rnacentral:rRNA from 1 species